rnacentral:lncRNA from 1 species
AUGGAUAUAUGUAAAAUCGAUGUCAAAUUAAUAAAAACUUGCAGCAACUUUUAUCCCCCCCCAACUAUUUGAAUUCAGGUUUUUUUUAUCCUACAUUGAUCUUUUGAUGUCAUCCCUAAGUUAAUCACUGUUUUCUCUCAUUGACUAUGGUCAGUCCCAAAGUGUUACAAGACAAAAUGAUUCUUUGUAAAAAGAUUCUGUUAAAGUUGACUCUCUUCUUUGGAGAUCAACAAACAAAAUAUUUUUGUGUUUUACAGAAAUGACAACAUGAACACAUAACGCCCAUUUCCGUAAAAACGAGUUCGGGGACAUACCAAUUUUAUUAGCUCAUUAUAAUGCAAAUAGUUAAAUCCUAAAGUUCACAGUUUUUUUACAAAAACGGUGGACCCGGAAAAAGGAUAUUUUUGGCUUUUUGUUGCCAUGGCAACGGGUUUUUUUUAACCCAAAAAUUAAAAAAUCUUGUUUUUAGGAACUUUUUAUGAUUUUUUUAAUUAAAAUUUAUUAUUAAUGAAUGGACCACAAUUAUUUAUACAUGUUUUGUUCAGUUUUAUUUUUUUAUAGUCACUCGCAUACAUUAUUAUUUCAGAAGAAUUGAAAUACAAUUUUCCCUAAAAAUCGUCAAAAAUCGGAAUUUUGAGCUUUUCACAUGAAAAAACUGGACGGGCGAUGUUUGAUUUUUUUUCAUUAAAUGAUUGGGUACUCCUCCCUGAACAAAAUGAUGUAUCAUAUUGGUGUAAUAUCACUAAGAAAAAAAUCCAGGUUUCAUGCAAACCUUACCUUAAAUUCUAUAUUUUA